rnacentral:rRNA from 1 species
UGAGGAAUAUUGGUCAAUGGGCGCGAGCCUGAACCAGCCAAGUAGCGUGAAGGAUGAAGGUCCUAUGGAUUGUAAACUUCUUUUAUAGCAGAAUAAAGUGACCCACGUGUGGGUUUUUGUAUGUAUGCUAUGAAUAAGGAUCGGCUAACUCCGUGCCAGCAGCCGCGGUAAUACGGAGGAUCCGAGCGUUACCCGGAUUUAUUGGGUUUAAAGGGUGCGUAGGCGGAAAGAUAAGUCAGCCUGUGAAAGUUUGCGGCUCAACCGUAAAAUUGCAGUUGAUACUGUUUUUCUUGAGUGUACAUAAGGUAGGCGGAAUUCGUGGUGUAGCGGUGAAAUGCUUAGAUAUCACGAAGAACUCCGAUUGCGAAGGCAGCUUACCGGGGUACAACUGACGCUGAUGCACGAAAGUGUGGGUAUCAAACA